rnacentral:rRNA from 1 species
GACGAACGCUGGCGGCGUGCCUAACACAUGCAAGUCGAACGGGGGGAACAUGAAGUAUUUCGGUACGGAAUGCGCCCCUAGUGGCGAACGGGUGAGUAACACGUGGGCAACCUGCCCCAGACUGGGGGAUAACAUUGUGAAAACAGUGCUAAUACCGCAUGACAGGGUUCCGGGCAUCCGGGACCCUUGAAAGGAGAAAUCCGGUCAGGGAUGGGCCCGCGUCCAAUUAGCUAGUUGGCGGGGUAACGGCCCACCAAGGCGACGAUUGGUAGCCGAACUGAGAGGUUGAUCGGCCACAUUGGGACUGAGACACGGCCCAGACUCCUACGGGAGGCAGCAGUGGGGAAUAUUGGGCAAUGGGCGAAAGCCUGACCCAGCGACGCCGCGUGAAGGAUGAAGGUCUUCGGAUUGUAAACUUCUUUGAUCAGGGAAGAAAGAAAUGACGGUACCUGAAAAACAAGCCACGGCUAACUACGUG